CUACGGUGAAUACGUUCCCGGGUCUUGUACACACCGCCCGUCACACCAUGGGAGUUGGUUCUACCUUAAGCCGCCGUCAAAAGCGUCCACGGUAGGGUCAGUGACUGGGGUG
rnacentral:rRNA from 1 species